AUGAAUUCGAGGAUUUUCUUCCUUUACUCAAGACACUUUAAAAUUAUAAUAUUUGUCAUCGAAAUAGCACUUAAAUGAUUAAUCGUAGCAUAAAGUGCUGCCUAUAUAUUUACAUUACAUAUUUAAAUGCACGAAAAAAGUGUCUGAGUGUCUUCUAAUUAUGAUUUAAAUCAAAUUUGGAUAAGAAGUCAACUUUUCUUUCAGAGAAGCGAAGAAAUUUGUAUUACUCCUGAUGAAUUCGAGAAUUUUCUCCCUUUACUCAAGACACCUUAAAAUUAUGAUAUUUGUCAUCGAAAUGAUAAUAACACUUAAGUGAUUAAUGCUCUCGCAGUAAUAACGUUCGCGUUGAUCCUACACCAUUGAGGGAAUUAUAAUCUCGAACGACGAGGGUCAUAAGUGUAUCGUAUAAUCUGGUAAACAGUAGAAUUACAAGAACAAACAAUAAUGGAACUCGCUUGUAAGCCGUCACUACGCAAAUAUCUGCGUCUCAUGCAGAAUAGUGUGUAUACGUAAUGCAUUAUGCACUUGCAUAACUUUCCAUCGACAACAACGACGAGAACGUACGCGCGCGCGCGCGCGUUUAUCAUGGAAACAGUUUUCGUAAUUAACAUUCGUAAUUCAAUUAUUAUAUUCAAACAACAAAUCGUGAUUAUUCUUAUUAUUAUUAACAGUAAGUUUGACUAAAUAUUUGCGAGCAAACAGCGAUUUCCAAGUAAGAUGAAAAUAUACAUCUAACGUUAGCGUCUGAGAAAUGAAGAAGUACAGUCAAGGAGACCCGGAGAUGCCGAAAAACUAUAAAGAUAACGCGUGCGCGAGAAAGAUCGGAACAACGAAAA